AGAUGUGAAGGCAAUCUGCCUGUGAUAUCUGUCACCCUAGUGAUUACAAAGGUUGGUUCAGCUGAUCUGGCUGGCUAAGCGAGUGUCCACUUCCUCCCUUACUGCUCCAUACAAGUCCCUCCUGAAGCUACAUGCUUAGUCAAAGAGGAUGACCGCCUCCAAUAAAGGACUGUUUCCUUGGUCAAGGGGGUGAGCUCCCCUGCUAGAAUCUCCAAACAAAAUCUCAAGGUGUUAAUUAUUCUUCCUUCCAUUACCUGACACUUCCUUCAGAGCUCCAGCAGCUUUGUUUCCUG
rnacentral:snRNA from 1 species